rnacentral:lncRNA from 1 species
GUUAACAAAAUUACGUUAAUAUCGGUUUUUGGAAAAAAUCGACGUUGUAUUAUCCUAUUUAAAUUAUUUUUUCGUGCUUCUCGCGCUUCAACUCUACUCUCACUCUUACCCUUCGGCCUCACGACGGUCCUCUCCUUCACGACUUUGACUUGUUGCCAUCCCCGCAUUCUGUUGCGAUGCUGUCAUCACCUUACUUGCAUUCUGUUGCGACGUUAUCACCACCUCACUUGUGUUCUGCUGCGAUGCCAUCGUCGUUUCAUCUUCUCGAUACCUUGCGACUUGAAGUCUUAUUUGGUUUCGUGGCCUGUUCCCUCGCAACUUCCUCCCCAAGUUAGCCCUAUCUGAUCAACGCCUUUGCUUUGUGUUUGAAAAUGUGCUAUCUGAAAUUGAU